GCUUGCAUCAUGAUUUACAUUUGAGUGAGUGGCGAACUGGUGAGUAACACGUGGGAAACCUGCCCAGAAGCGGGGGAUAACACCUGGAAACAGAUGCUAAUACCGCAUAACAACUUGGACCGCAUGGUCCGAGUUUGAAAGAUGGCUUCGGCUAUCACUUUUGGAUGGUCCCGCGGCGUAUUAGCUAGAUGGUGAGGUAACGGCUCACCAUGGCAAUGAUACGUAGCCGACCUGAGAGGGUAAUCGGCCACAUUGGGACUGAGACACGGCCCAAACUCCUACGGGAGGCAGCAGUAGGGAAUCUUCCACAAUGGACGAAAGUCUGAUGGAGCAACGCCGCGUGAGUGAAGAAGGGUUUCGGCUCGUAAAACUCUGUUGUUAAAGAAGAACAUAUCUGAGAGUAACUGUUCAGGUAUUGACGGUAUUUAACCAGAAAGCCACGGCUAACUACGUGCCAGCAGCCGCGGUAAUACGUAGGUGGCAAGCGUUGUCCGGAUUUAUUGGGCGUAAAGCGAGCGCAGGCGGUUUUUUAAGUCUGAUGUGAAAGCCUUCGGCUCAACCGAAGAAGUGCAUCGGAAACUGGGAAACUUGAGUGCAGAAGAGGACAGUGGAACUCCAUGUGUAGCGGUGAAAUGCGUAGAUAUAUGGAAGAACACCAGUGGCGAAGGCGGCUGUCUGGUCUGUAACUGACGCUGA
rnacentral:rRNA from 1 species